GAAAUGAUUCGGGCAGGUCUGCUGUUGGAUGGGGUCACCGGGGAGGUGCUGGUGUGAUGCAGAAGGAGACUUUUGUCAGCCUUCUUAACGAGGCAGAAUUGCCUCACUUCCUCAGAUAUGGAAAUGCCUCUUUGUUAAAGCAAGGCCCCGUCCCUUAUCUCUGGGUUUGGACAGCUCUGCUUUUGGCACUUUGCUGUGUGAAAGGACUCCACGCACCUCAACGUGCACACAAAGCCAGGAUCCAACGGGGGAAAAGUUUGCAACUCAGGAUUGGCUCCGAGCAGAGCAGGAGUGACCCCAUAUGGGGACACUGCAGGGCUCCUUCAGGACGGAGCUGCCUGGAACACCUCUGUAUUUGGGGAGAAACCCACAGAAGUCUGAUGGAUCCCCCCAAGUUCCCUUUCGUUCUGUUGAAUGUGAAUGUUGC
ensembl:lncRNA